rnacentral:rRNA from 1 species
GGUUCUAUGUGUCCGCUAUAAAACCCCCAAUUUUUUAAAGGUUGACCUCGGAUCAAGUAGG